CACGGUUGGUCCCUCUUGUUCCGAGGCUCCAGAGUCUGGGCCUGAACAGCUCCUGCUCCUCUGGCUCCCAGCUGGCUGUGGCGACUGGGGUGGGCUCUCUAAGCUGGUGGCACUGGCACUCCCCGCUGUGAACUGGUAACAGAAUGCAUCAGGUGCUGGGAUGCGCCCUUCAUGAGAGGCCAGGGGCUGAGCCACCUGUUCGCGGGAACAGAGGAGCACUUCUAGAAAGGGAGCCAUGUUGAGGUGUGGCUGGUGGCCCCUGCUGCACUGCACGGAGGAACCAAGGAGAGGGUCAGUGUCCCAGGCACACCCUGCGGGCCAAAGGCACCUCGGCGUGCCCUGAGGGAGGACUUGAGGUCACUGGCUGAGGUUGCUGAAAACCAAGCACCAGCCGUCAUGCUGCUGAGUUACAGGGCAAGUUCAGCGUCAGCCCCGGAGAGCGUCUGCAAAGUGGGGGCGCUGCUUGGAAAGGAGGGAUCCUGUGAUUUGGGGUGCAGAGGCCCCCGAAGGUGAUUCUGAGGAAGUGGCCUCCCGCCCUCAGCAUAGGGCACCCCACCUCUGCUGUCUGUGGAUUGGCCUCCCACUGCCCCCGCGGGUCCUGCUUUGCCUCUGGAAACAGGAAUGACCUUCCGUGGCUCCUCGGACCUCUUCGCCACCUCCUUCCACCUCCAGGCCCCCGCUACCUCCAGACCUCAGCAGGCGCAGAGGUGAGGUGUGCCGUGUGACCACACCAAGGCCACCCCUUGAGUCUCCUUUUUUGGUACCGGGAUUGAUCCAAGGGUCACCACUGAGCUCCAUCUCCAGCCCUUUUUAAAAAUUUUAAACU
rnacentral:lncRNA from 1 species